UACAGAGGGUGCGAGCGUUAAUCGGAAUUACUGGGCGUAAAGCGCACGUAGGCGGAUGAUUAAGCCAGGGGUGAAAUCCCGAGGCUCAACCUCGGAACUGCCCUUGAUACUGGCCAUCUCGAGUCCGGAAGAGGUUAGUGGAAUUCCCAGUGUAGAGGUGAAAUUCGUAGAUAUUGGGAAGAACACCAGUGGCGAAGGCGGCUAACUGGUCCGGUACUGACGCUGAGGUGCGAAAGCGUGGGGAGCAAACAGG
rnacentral:rRNA from 1 species